GUCCGCACGGUAAACGAUGGAUGCCCGCUGUUGGUCUGAAUAGGUCAGCGGCCAAGCGAAAGCAUUAAGCAUCCCACCUGGGAGUACGCCGGCAACGGUGAAACUCAAGGAAUUGACGGGGCCCGCACAAGCGGAGGAACAUGUGGUUUAAUUCGAUGAUACGCGAGGAACCUUACCCGGGCUUGAAUUGCAGAGGAAGGAUUUGGAGACAAUGACGCCCUUCGGGUCUCUGUGAAGGUGCUGCAUGGUUGUCGU
rnacentral:rRNA from 1 species